rnacentral:tmRNA from 1 species
GGGGGUGUUUAUGGCUUCGACAUGCGUAGGUGAGCGUGGAUCGCGGUUCGUAGGUUACGUCUACGUAAAAACGUUACAGUUAAAUAUAACUGCUAAAAACGAAAAUUCUUACGCUUUAGCUGCCUAAAAGUAGCCUAGCGUGAUCCUGCCAACUUCUCCCAAGGGUUGGAUUUUGGGUCUCAAAUUAAUUGGGAUUACGUUAUUUACCGCCACUUGAAGUAAAUAAAAGAGAUUAGCAAGUUAGCCAUUGUGUGUUAGCCCUGAUAGGCGGCGCGUCACUUUGGCGAAAUUUUAAAUAGUCUAGCUAUGAUCGUAGAAGUCUGCGUGGCAAUGCGUAUGGACAGGGGUUCAAAUCCCCUCACCUCCACUA